AGUGAACGCUGGCGGUAGGCCUAACACAUGCAAGUCGAACGGCAGCACAGUAAGAGCUUGCUCUUACGGGUGGCGAGUGGCGGACGGGUGAGGAAUACAUCGGAAUCUACUUUUUCGUGGGGGAUAACGUAGGGAAACUUACGCUAAUACCGCAUACGACCUACGGGUGAAAGCAGGGGAUCUUCGGACCUUGCGCGAUUGAAUGAGCCGAUGUCGGAUUAGCUAGUUGGCGGGGUAAAGGCCCACCAAGGCGACGAUCCGUAGCUGGUCUGAGAGGAUGAUCAGCCACACUGGAACGGGGACACGGUCCAGACUACUACGGGAGGGAGCAGUGGGGAAUAUUGGACAAUGGGCGCAAACCUGAUACAGCCAUACCGCGUGCGUGAAGAAGGCGUUCGGGUUGUAAAGCCCUUUUGUUGGGAAAGAAAAGCAGCAGGUUAAUACCCCGCUGUUCUGACGGUACCCAAAGAAUAAGCACCGGCUAACUUCGUG
rnacentral:rRNA from 1 species